UCAUGACACAAAUCUCAAUCAACUGCCCUCUCCAAUCCUACACAACAAGGAAAGGAUGAGCUCCCUCCACCAUACAAUCACAAAUUUAUGGCUGGUUCAUGUGUGGUUGGGGAUGCCCGCCGGGGGACCCCGAGACGGAGGUGGCUCCCCAAUCCUUGCUCAAAUACGAUAACUCCCCAGUCCUUGGUGAAGGUGGGAUUUGAAGCCUCUAGUAUAACUACCACGAGACUUUACUAGCUAUCCAGGAUGCUGCAUUCCACCCGCGGAAUGUGGCUUCACCUUUCAGAGUGCCCUCGUCUGGACUAAGCCCACCACCUUGACUUCAAACAAUACCGACUGUAAUACUUGGCAAAACAACCCUUCCACCCUCUGCUACGACCGCGAGUGUUACACAGCUAGUACCAUUGCCAGCAUUAGGAAUGACCGAAAGGAGGUUCUUGCUCUUGCAUAAAGCUAAGAGUUGGUAGGCUAUCUCAUUGGCGACAUGUCAUCUCCGACUGCUGUACUUCCAGUAGCAGAUGGAUCGAAUGCUGCCCCUGCUCCAAACCCUGAGUACCAGAAAUGAAAAACUACUGAUCGUUUUCUUAAAGGGUGGAUCAUUGGAACUCUGUCCAAGGAAGCUCUUGGCAUUGUCAUUAGCCUUGAUACUUCUGCACAAGUCUGGUCUGCUCUUAAAGAAGCCUAUGCUCAAGCCUCUCAAGAGCGCAGUUUCAACUCAUUCAACAACUUACCUACAUGGAGAAAGAUCCAAAAAUGUCUCUCAACAACUAUCUUUGCAAGUUUAAAGGUAUUUGUGAUGGCCUAGCUGCUAUUGGACAUCCGGUAAGUGACAAAACAAAGGUUUUUUUCUUGCUUAACGGUCUUGGUGCUCGCUAUGAACUAUUUACUACUCUAAUGCUCAAACCUCCUAUGCCCUCCUAUGGCGAAGUGGUUCCUUUGCUGCAAAGUUAUGAAGCAUGUGUGAGCCUUCAUUCUCCAGAUCAGGCUGCCUACAUUGCCUUCUUUGGGCAGAAAAACAACUCCAAGUCACACAACAAAGAGCCAAGAAACUAAGAUAAUUUCUCCUCUAAGGGUAAGGGUUUUGCUUUUGUUAACCAAUCUUCGGCCAAACCAAAUAUUCUAAGCUCUACCCCUGUUGCACCUAACAAUUCCCAAGAGAACAAUCGCGAUUUUGUUUGUCAAACUAUGAUAAACAAGGUCACAAUGCCCUCCGUUGCUGGCAUAGGUUUAAUCGUGACAAUUUACCAAAGAUAUAUGCAGCUCUUCAUUUUGAUUCACAUGCCAAUGAUGAAGAAUAGACGUUGGACACAGGGGCUUCAGCUCAUAUGACUUCUCAAGAAGACUGCGAUAUGUGGCAAAAUGAUCCUUUUCUCCUCUGCUAUGACUGCAAUCCAGCAAGGUGUGUCCUGGACAACAUCAAGAAUGACUGGAAGAGGAUUGCCCUCAUCAACAUCAUUGCCCUUAUCUUCCUCAUCAUUGUUUACUCCAUCAGAUGCUAUGCCUUCAGGAACAACACGCUGCAAAAUACUCAGGGCAUAUGGAAAGUAUUCCAUUUGAGGGCUGCCGGUUUUGAUGAGGUUUCCCUUCAGUUGCCACAAGUUUUUGAUUCUUCUCUUUGAACAUGUUGGGUGCUAGCAACUUGUCUACUAAGGUUAUCUUAGGACGUUUUCUGGUUUCUGCCAUGUUUCAUAUUUUUCAUGUUAUGUUAGCCGGUAUCAUUAAUUAGAUAUUUACAUUC